AAAAAACAAGGCAGUUAAAAUUGAAAGAAAAUUAAACGCUCUGCACUUUAUUUUGUCGGUCACUGUAGGAUAGAGAUCGGUACAGGUCUAGGGCAAAUUGACAGAUUACCGUUACCAAUUACCAAUUACGCCUUUGAAGGCUAGGGAGAAACGUAUUGAUUGUUCUUAAAGUUGGUUUGGCUACCGUUGGAACCGGAUCUUGGAAUAUCUCUUCUCGUCUACUUCCCGCUACUAACAUCCCAACCGUCCGGACCGAAGGUCGUCGCAUUUCUCCUCGUUCGCAACCGUUUGACAGCUGCUGCUGCUGUUCGCACACACAAAAAAAGCUUCCAUCACUUACUUUCUCGCCUGCAUAAAAUGCAGCUCACAUACACGGGUGUAUUAUUUACGUAAGCGUACCGCAUCGGGCCUCGGAAAUUGGUCCCCGAAUCCGUGUUGCCGUGUUUAUUCGGGUGCGAGCGAAAAGAAAGAGCGAGUGAGAACGGGAAGACGCGUGUUGAAGAUCAGGCAGGUAGUAGUUGUUGUGCUAGUAGUAAUAAUAAUAAUCAUCGCUCGAUUAGCCAUUUGCUAGAAAUGUCACUUUGAAAGUGUUGUUUCCCCCAAAUGAAAGCUUUCCUCACUCUCGCUCACUGGCUCUCUUCAGGUCCCCCCUCGUUUUGCUAGCCUGCGUGUUUUUUCGUGCAGCGAAUUGUGCAAUGGGUGGAUGAGCGAUCGCACUUUUCCGACGGCAACUGGGAGGAUGUUUCUGUGCUGUUUUUUUUUUUUAGGUUACGAAAGAGGAGCCAUCUUGUUAGUGUUAUUGAUUGUUGCACAAGCCUUUUGCCAAUACGCUGGCAAACUGAUUGAAAAGAAAAUCAAUAAACAACGGUUACGGUUGUUGGUAGAAUAAUUAUAGUACGAGAUGAAACUUGACACUCGAAUGCACAGUGGGUAAAUGUCUGUAUAAAAAUGAAAAUACUGACUCCCGUCAUUAGUAUAAAACAAAAUUGGUUUUCAUAAACUAGAUACUUAAACUAAACACUAA